CUUGAUGAGGCUACAAGUGCACUGGAUGCUGAAUCCGAAUGUGUGUUACAAGAAGCACUCGAAAGGUUGAUGAGAGGUCGAACCACCGUUUUGGUGGCUCACCGAUUAUCAACAAUUCGAAAUGUGGAUACUAUUGGUGUUGUGCAAGACGGAAGAAUCGUUGAACAAGGAAGCCAUUCUGAGUUAAUCAGCAGGCCAGAAGGUGCAUAUUCUAGACUAUUGCAACUACAACACCACCGCAUAUGAUGAAAAUUACAAGAAUCUCUUAUUCCUUUUCUUUUUUUAACUUUUCAACUUUUAAUUUUUAUGGAAGCAAUCAACAUGGCCUAGUGUUUUUGGCCUCUGGGAUGGUUUGUGGGGGGAGUAACAAUGUUUGGGUCCUAGUGACUGUUGCUUUCAUAUGCUUUAUUGAUUAUGAUGAUGUGAUGAUGCUGAUAGUUGUAGAUAUGGGAUUGUCACGAUCAAAUAUUAUAUCAUUGGGAAAGUUUACAACUCUAUUCCCUAUGG
rnacentral:misc_RNA from 1 species